UGGCCCCAAAGUGCGGGGUGAAUGCGGUGGUUUUUGUCUUUGGCAAAAUAUAGCGGGAAAGGGGCCUUUCCUUAGGUCCCUUGGUAGUGAGGGCAUUAGUUGGGGAAUUUACCAUCAGUUCAUCACCGCAGGGCGGGAUUUUAGCCGGGGUUGGCUGGACCAAAAGUCAAAUUCCCCGCACUACUAUUUUUUUCAGGAAUAAGUUGGAACCAAGAUGAACAGAGAAAGUGAGUUAGCGAGGCAGUUGCAAGAAUGGACGACACAAUAAAUGAACUUCAACUUACAGUCGUCCCACUCAGCAGCAUUUAUCCAGUGAAGUUGAGAGCCUUGUAAAGGACCAGGAUCCGCAAUAUGGCAAUGUGUGACACAACAUGUAACAUCCACAGACUGAGAGUACAUUAUUACAGCCUGCAUAUGGACGCUGGUGAUAUUAAGACAGGCAAACAUCAAUGCAGACAUUGAAGAUGGAGCUGUUAAUCAAAUGCAUGCAGGAUGGAUAGACUAGUCGCAUGAUUACCCUGGACAAUUUUUUUGUUUGAGACAGUAAAUGGCAACCUGGCAUUGUGUCCUCAUAGAGACUAUGCACACUGAAAAUAGUUAAAGUUAAGAGUGAAGGUACCAUCAGGUUUUCAACAGCAAGCGCCAUAAGGUCACCCUCCCUGACUGCGUUACGGUUUGUGUGAAAUCUACUGAUGCCCUGGCACAGUAUCUGAAAUAUGUGCGGUGUCUCCACAACAGAUCUGAUGGUGUGGUGCAUUGAAAAUAUCAUAGCAGUGUAACUGGUAAACAGAGGUUCAAGUAUGAUGGUGGAGAAGUGAGGGAUCUGGCCAAAAAGCCGUCCGUUUACAAGAAUGUACAUCUGGUAUUGCAGAUAUUUGGACAACUGAAGGCCAGAUUGGAUGGCAUAUGUUAAAGCCAGCUGUAUGCCCGCAAGGAACAGUAAAACGUACACUUUCCAGCCAUCCUGUGACACUUGAUCAACCAGACGGCUUCCACAUCUAUCCAGUGGGCAUGUGAGUUGACACUACGGUGGCCGCUCAACCAUGACACAAUUGAUCAAUCACAGCUAGAGUUCAGCCGAUGUUCACGAAACAGAGAAAGGGAAUGGUCUACUUUAGAGGUCACGUUGCUUACCAUUUUAAGCAAACACCACAGAAAGGUACUGACACGGAGACAAUUGCUGAUGUAAUAAGCUACACGAGCAGUGCCUACAGUACAGGAAGAAGACUAUGAUGAAAAGCAUUCUCUUUGGUGGCGCUGAACUGACAUGUGGAAAAAUAUGAGAGCACAGAUGGCCAGACAGGAUGGGGACAUACCAGAAGAGAGAUUAGUAAAUCUCACUGGAGGCUGUUGGAAGAACCCAGAAUGUGACUAAUGGAAUGAUUCAACACACAUGUAAAAGUGAUGAUGAAGAAAGUGUGGUCAAGUCAUUCUGUGAGCAUGGUUGAUAAAACAGGGAAUACUAUCACAUUGACCAAGUUCACUCAAAACCAAGGAAAAGAACUCCAAGUUACACUUCAACUAUUUUAGGCUUAAACUAAUUUAGACCUUUGGAUGCACAAAAGCUGCAUAUAAAGCUGCAUAUAUGUUACAGAACCCCUUAAGAAAAUUUAAUUGAAUAAGAUACCUAUUGAAACAAGUUAUUAUAUUGACAAAAAAGAAAGAAACUAAAGAAAAUGCCAUCUUUUUUAUAUCUUAGAAGUAAAAAACAAGUGUUGCUGGGUUUCAUUCAAGAUGCACUCUUGCUCCCAAAUAAGAUUUACCAUAAUUAAUAGUAUUGUUUUAAUGUUCCAAAAAGGAGAAAUUAAUGUGAACAACAAUGGUUCUUAUGAAGGAAACUGAGUUUAAUUUGAAAGAAAUAAGCAUAAAACACAGUAUAUCUACCUUAUGAGACUAUAGUAGACCACAGUAAAUCUUUUAUCAUUCACCAAUCAUUUAAUAUUUUUUGUGCUUCCUGCUAUUAAAUAGACGGUUACAAUCUUGCUAUCAGUAAUUAAUAUUUUCAAUAAAUGCAUUAUUGAGUGAAGUAGUUAAAGGUUUAUCAGUCAAAAUUGAUGUUUGUUAUAUAUGUGUAUGUAUUGAUUUUGAAUAAGAGUGUCAUUUUAAUUGUUUGAAUUGUCACUUUUUUCAAGAUAUUAGAAGUAACCAUUCAUCACAUUAUUUUGUAAUUUACCAAGGCUCUUACACCUUAAACAACUCAUGAAUGGUAAUGAUCAAUUAAAAUCCAUUGGAACUCUGCCUCUUUUGUACAACAAAAUUUAUUCAUUCAUUCUCAUUCAUGUACAAUCAACAAAUAUUCUAUGUAAUAAUGUUUUACUGGUUUUAUACACACUAUUUGGUGACGUUCAUACCAUUAUUGCUAAUGAGAACCUUAAAAUUAUACCAUACUUUUGCAUAAAGUCUAACUAAAACAUUUAAAUGACAUAGGCAGUAGUUUACAGGGCUUCCAUUAAGAAUUUGAAACUGAAAGUAUGAACUUCCUGACCAUCAAUAUUGGAAGUUUUACAUUGAAAUUUGGAAGUUACAGUUUCCCUUAAUACAAUUUUUUCCAGUAUUUUUAAAUAGUAUGUUAAAAAUCAAAUAAUUUGAAAUUAUAUCUUCCAGAUUCACAGAUUAAUGUUAUAAUAAUUCAUUUUACUUCAAGACUGAUUGAAUGUGUGACCAUAUAAGUAAUAUUGACACAAGGUUUUGAUAUUUUGAACUUCCAAUCGUUUGGCUUUGGAAGUUUUCUUCAAAAUUAUGGAAGUUUUUGUACUUCCAAGAAAUUAGGUUUGGAAGUUUUAACCCAUUUUUAGGGAGUAGUAUACUUCCAAACUUCCUUUAAAGGAAGCCCUGAGUUUAUAUAUUUAUUGAUAAGAUGGUUACAAAAACAUGUUGUUAAUGAUGUAUUUGGGAUAUUGUUUACUUAAUACACCUGUAAGUCAAAGUCACACUAUGUCACACUAGUUUUUCCUUAGACGUCAUACUGUGUUUUAAACUUUGCAUAUGUUAGACUGUAAUUAAAACAUUUAUAAAUAGUCUUUCAAUAAUAACUGUGUCUACAACUGCAUAACAAAGUAUAUUUGUAUUUUAAUUCCAAAAUUGUAAUUUUCAUGUCAUUAUUACAUGUUCUCACUACAUUAGCUCAUACAUGUUUUAUAUAUUGAAUUGUGGCCGAUUAUGUAGCCGGUUUGUUUAUCUUUCUUUUAUUACAAGGGCAUAACAUCAUUUUUAUAACUUGCGCUCUUAUAUUGAAACAAAGGCACACAUGCAGUUAACAUGCAGUAGAGAGUAAAUUAUUCUUGUUUUUCACAUCCUUGAGAGUAAUAUAUAUAUGCAUUUUGAAUUAUUAAAUUACUCUUUUUGUCAGAAAAUAUGACAAUAUGAUGGUGUUCAAAAGGCUGUAUUGUAUGGUCAAUACAAGUUACUACCAGUAUACUGUUAAACCUGUUAAGUGUACAUAAAUUAUAUAUGAUAGAUGUUGAUUAAUUGCAUUUGUAUUUAGUCAGA